rnacentral:rRNA from 1 species
GGCCACACCACCCUGAACGUGCCCGUCUUUUCUGAUCUCCGAAGCUUCGCAGGGUUGGGCCUGGUUAGUACUUGGAUGG